GACGAACGCUGGCGGCGUGCUUAACACAUGCAAGUCGAACGGAAAGGCCCUGCUUUUGUGGGGUGCUCGAGUGGCGAACGGGUGAGUAACACGUGAGUAACCUGCCCUUGACUUUGGGAUAACUUCAGGAAACUGGGGCUAAUACCGGAUAGGAGCUCCUGCUGCAUGGUGGGGGUUGGAAAGUUUCGGCGGUUGGGGAUGGACUCGCGGCUUAUCAGCUUGUUGGUGGGGUAGUGGCUUACCAAGGCUUUGACGGGUAGCCGGCCUGAGAGGGUGACCGGCGACAUUGGGACUGAGGUACGGCCCAGACGCCUACGGGAGGCAGCGGGGGGGAAUAUUGCACAAUGGGCGGAAGCCUGAUGCAGCAACGCCGCGUGCGGGAUGACGGCCUUCGGGUUGUAAACCGCUUUCGCCUGUGACGAAGCGUGAGUGACGGUAGUGGGUAAAGAAGCACCGGCUAACUACGUG
rnacentral:rRNA from 1 species